UCUAUGACCCAAUAGUUACAAUUUGUAACAUUUCUUUAAGUAAGUAAAUCACUAUUCAGUAGAAUAGUAAAAUAAAGAAUCAUUUCAGAUUCACAAAAAGUGAGUAUGGAGAGUUUGAUUCUGGCUCAGAGCGAACGUUGGCGAUGCGUCUUAAGCAUGCAAGUCGAGCGGGCUUAUUCGGGCAACUGGAUAAGUUAGCGGCGAACUGGUGAGUAACACGUAGGUAAUCUGCCGUAGAGUGGGGGAUAACCCAUGGAAACAUGGACUAAUACCACAUAUACUCUUGCUACAUAAGUAGAGUAGAGGAAAGGAGCAAUCCGCUUUACGAUGAGCCUGCGGCCUAUUAGCCUGUUGGUGGGGUAACGGCCUACCAAAGCUACGAUAGGUAGCCGACCUGAGAGGGUGACCGGCCACAUUGGGACUGAGAUACGGCCCAGACUCCUACGGGAGGCAGCAGCUGAGAAUCUUCCACAAUGGACGAAAGUCUGAUGGAGCGACAUCGCGUGAGGGAUGAAGGCCUUCGGGUUGUAAACCUCGGAAAUUAUCGAAGAAUGAGUGACAGUAGAUAAUGUAAGCCUCGGCUAACUACGUGCCAGCAGCCGCGGUAAUACGUAGGAGGCAAACGUUGCUCGGAUUUACUGGGCGUAAAGGGUGAGUAGGCGGACUUAUAAGUCUAAGGUGAAAGACCGAAGCUCAACUUCGGAAACGCCUCGGAUACUGUAAGUCUUGGAUAUUGUAGGGGAUGAUGGAAUUCUCGGUGUAGCGGUGGAAUGCGCAGAUAUCGAGAGGAACACCUAUAGCGAAGGCAGUCAUCUGGGCAUUUAUCGACGCUGAAUCACGAAAGCUAGGGGAGCAAACAGGCUUAGAUACCCUGGUAGUCCUAGCCGUAAACGUUGUACACUAGGUGCUUCUAUUUAAAUAGGAGUGCCGUAGCUAACGUCUUAAGUGUACCGCCUGAGGAGUAUGCCCGCAAGGGUGAAACUCAAAGAAAUUGACGGGUCCCCGCACAAGUGGUGGAGCAUGUGGUUUAAUUCGAUGAUACGCGAAAAACCUUACCUGGGUUUGAAUUGUAAGAUGAAUGAUUUAGAGAUAAGUCAGACCGCAAGGACGUUUUACAUAGGUGCUGCAUGGCUGUCGUCAGCUCGUGUCGUGAGAUGUUGGGUUAAGUCCCGCAACGAGCGCAACCCUCACCCUUUGUUGCUACCGAGUAAUGUCGGGCACUCUUAGGGGACUGCCUACGUUCAAGUAGGAGGAAGGUGGGGAUGAUGUCAAGUCCUCAUGGCCCUUAUGUCCAGGGCUACACACGUGCUACAAUGGCAAGUACAAAGAGAAGCAAGACCGCGAGGUGGAGCAAAACUCAAAAAAGUUGCCUCAGUUCGGAUUGGAGUCUGAAACUCGACUCCAUGAAGUUGGAAUCACUAGUAAUCGUAGAUCAGAACGCUACGGUGAAUACGUUCCCGGGGAUUGUACACACCGCCCGUCACGCCAUCGGAGUUGGUUUUACCUGAAGUCGUUAGCCUAACCGCAAGGGGGGCGGCGCCGAAGGUGGGACUGAUG
rnacentral:rRNA from 1 species